CCAGACAGCCAGGAUGUUGGCUUAGAAGCAGCCAUCAUUUAAAGAAAGCGUAAUAGCUCACUGGUCGAGUCGGCCUGCGCGGAAGAUGUAACGGGGCUAAACCAUGCACCGAAGCUGCGGCAGCGACACUCAGGUGUUGUUGGGUAGGGGAGCGUUCUGUAAGCCUGCGAAGGUGGCCUGUGAGGGUUGCUGGAGGUAUCAGAAGUGCGAAUGCUGACAUAAGUAACGAUAAAGCGGGUGAAAAGCCCGCUCGCCGGAAGACCAA
rnacentral:rRNA from 3 species